AAAAAAGUUGACAUAACAAAAGUGCGCGAAAUUAAAAUGGUGUCUGAUAUUUCAUCUCUCAUUGAAUCCAGAAGUCAGAGAAAAACAAUGGCAUAAUUAACAUAGGCAAAUACACAGUGCACCACUCGAUGUCAUCACGAGGAGCACAAAAUUGUGGAAUAAAUUUUGACGAUAUUUUAGGAAAAAGAUUUCAUCAUCAAUAUCAAGCAGCAUCAGAAAGCAUCAGAUUAGGAUUACAAACAAUUUGUAAUAGGAACAAAAUUCAUGACAUGGGGCUGAAAAGCUAAUUUUUUGGUAGGAUCAAAGUAUGGCGUGGCAAUCCAUAUGGAAAAGGAAAUGUGGAUAGUUGUGUCUAGUUUCAUUCUGUCCUUUUGAAAAUGUAUAAAGAUGAAGUAUAACAUAUAAGGAAACUUCUAUGUGCACAUUUUGACUAAAAAUUGAUUUUGGGCACUCCUUGCUCAAUAUGCCGAUCCAAAUGGCCCCUUUCUUCAUUGAAUCCAUGACUCCCUUUUCUUACUGACUACACUAAUAAGAAGAGGACAAUGACUGGAAUAGAAAUUAUGAAUGUGUCUUUGAUCACAGUGAUGCAUAUGCAAGUACUAAAUGUCUAUCAGCUCUCAGCUGGUCUAAGUUUUGGUAUCCAUUUAGUUAGUCAUUUUGUUGGAUUUAUUAUAAGAAAAGGAACUGUUUGAAAACACAGAUUUGCUUUUACAAUGAGGAUAAUAACUGUGUUGAAUCUAAAUGUUGUUUCCCUUUGUAUGGAUUUUCUGCAUAAAGUAAAACUACUCUUAAAGGUUUGAAGUUAAGUAGCAGUUUUUAAUUUUGUUCAAAUGAAUGAACUUGAAGUGGAAAUGAAGUUUAAAUAAUGUUUUUUAAGAAAGAUUAUCAUUAUUAUAUCUGUCUUUAAUUUGUUUUUGUUUUUUUGCAGAAUUUAUUUUGUUUUAUUUUAAAUUUGAGCCAAUGUCUUGUAUUUUAUUUAGAUAAAUAAAGAUUAUUUUCAAAAUUAAACACUUUAAUUAUAUGGAUUUGUAGGAUUUAUUAAAUUAAAUUCAACUAUUCAGAAA